rnacentral:rRNA from 1 species
AGAGUUUGAUCCUGGCUCAGGAUGAACGCUAGCGGCAGGCCUAACACAUGCAAGUCGAGGGGCAGCGGGAGUGCUUGCACUCGCCGGCGACCGGCGCACGGGUGCGGAACGCGUAUCGAAUCUACCUCUAUCUGGGGGAUACCCCAUGGAAACGUGGAAUAAUACCCCAUAGUAUUACUUUUUCGCAUGAUUUAGUAAUUAAAGAAUUUCGGAUAGAGAUGACGAUGCGUAUCAUUAGCUAGUAGGUAAGGUAACGGCUUACCUAGGCAACGAUGAUUAGGGGUCCUGAGAGGGAGAUCCCCCACACUGGUACUGAGACACGGACCAGACUCCUACGGGAGGCAGCAGUGAGGAAUAUUGGACAAUGGUCGAAAGACCGAUCCAGCCAUGCCGCGUGCAGGAUGACUGCCCUAUGGGUUGUAAACUGCUUUUAUACGGGAAGAAAAACACCUACGUGUAGGUGACUGACGGUACCGUAAGAAUAAGGACCGGCUAACUCCGUGCCAGCAGCCGCGGUAAUACGGAGGGUCCAAGCGUUAUCCGGAAUCAUUGGGUUUAAAGGGUCCGUAGGCGGGCUAUUAAGUCAGAGGUGAAAGUUUGCAGCUCAACUGUAAAAUUGCCUUUGAUACUGAUAGUCUUGAAUUGUAGUGAAGUGGUUAGAAUAUGUGGUGUAGCGGUGAAGUGCAUAGAUAUCACAUAGAAUACCGAUUGCGAAGGCAGAUCACUAACUAUAUAUUGACGCUGAGGGACGAAAGCGUGGGUAGCGAACGGGAUUAGAUACCCCGGUAGUCCACGCCGUAAACGAUGGAUACUAGCUGUUGGAUUUUUUCAGUGGCUAAGCGAAAGUGAUAAGUAUCCCACCUGGGGAGUACGUUCGC